rnacentral:rRNA from 1 species
AUUGAACGCUGGCGGCAUGCUUUACACAUGCAAGUCGAACGGCAGCGCGGGGCAACCUGGCGGCGAGUGGCGAACGGGUGAGUAAUACAUCGGAACGUACCCAGAAGUGGGGGAUAACGUAGCGAAAGUUACGCUAAUACCGCAUACGUUCUACGGAAGAAAGUGGGGGACCUUCGGGCCUCAUGCUUUUGGAGCGGCCGAUGUCUGAUUAGCUAGUUGGUGAGGUAAAGGCUCACCAAGGCGACGAUCAGUAGCUGGUCUGAGAGGACGACCAGCCACACUGGGACUGAGACACGGCCCAGACUCCUACGGGAGGCAGCAGUGGGGAAUUUUGGACAAUGGGCGCAAGCCUGAUCCAGCAAUGCCGCGUGAGUGAAGAAGGCCUUCGGGUUGUAAAGCUCUUUUGUCAGGGAGGAAACGGCUGAGGAUAAUACCUUCGGCUAAUGACGGUACCUGAAGAAUAAGCACCGGCUAACUACGU